ACGUAAUGCAGUGCUGAAGAUGGCCUAUCAGCUUCCGGUGGCCCUAAGGUAACGUAAUGUAGCGCUGAAGAUGGCCUAUCGAAUUCCGGUGGCCCUAAGGUAACGUAAUGUAGCGCUGAAGAUGGCCUAUCAGCUUCCGGUGGCCCUAAGGUAACGUAAUGUAGCGCUGAAGAUGGCCUAUCAGCUUCCGGUGGCCCUAAGGUAACGUAAUGUAGCGCUGAAGAUGGCCUAUCAGCUUCCGGUGGCCCUAAGGUAACGUAAUGUAGCGCUGAAGAUGGCCUAUCAGCUUCCGGUGGCCCUAAGGUAACGUAAUGUAGCGCUGAAGAUGGCCUAUCAGCUUCCGGUGGCCCUAAGGUAACGUAAUGUAGCGCUGAAGAUGGCCUAUCAGCUUCCGGUGGCCCUAAGGUAAUGUAAUGUAGCGCUGAAGAUGGCCUAUCAGCUUCCGGUGGCCCUAAGGUAACGUAAUGUAACGCUGAAGAUGGCCUAUCAGCUUCCGGUGGCCCUAAGGUAAUGCAAUGCAGCGCUGAAGAUGGCCUGCCGCCUUUCAGUGACCGUAAGGUAAUGUAAAAUAACAACGCUGAUAGCCCUAAGACAGCCCCA